UCUGGUUUACAGAUGCAAAAUUUUAAUUUGCUCUAAACCAUAUAUAUUAUAAUUCUCUUUGCUCUAAACUCUAGUUUGCUCUAAACAUUAUAAAAACAAUUCGUUUCGAUCCGUUUCGAUAGAAAAGUGUUAAAUUAUGUAAAUAAAGGACCCAUUUCUUAUUAUAGUUGUAGCCGUAAUAGGCAGUGGGGCUUGAUUCGUCAGUUAAAUAAAAUUAGUGCUGCGGUCGACAUAACGAUUACCUUUAGAUAAAAUGGAGGAGGAGAUAAGACAGUUGAAGUCAUCAUUACGAUCUCUGGUGGUGUCCAGUCCUUCAGAGGUAAAUGUGCGCUCUUUGUUGCCGGCGACUACCGUGAAAUGAUGGGAGGGCAUGUGCCAUUGAGGAAGUUUGGUUACAAAGAUCCACUCACAUUUCUCAAGGAGAUGUGCAGUGAUUGCUUUCUGUUCACUGGAACACCCUCUAAUCCAACUCUAACACUAAUAGUACGGACACACUCAAACACAUUGAUAACUUUGUGCAGAAACAGAAGGCGUCUAGCACAACUAAACAUAAAGCAAAGAGACGCAGUGUACCUCAUUCAAAAAUACAACCACCAAAGACAAAUCUUAUAUUUGAAUCAUUUGUAAA